rnacentral:rRNA from 1 species
CACGUAGUUAGCCGUGACUUUCUAAGUAAUUACCGUCAAGUAAAGGCCAGUUACUACCUCUAUCUUUCUUCACUACCAACAGAGCUUUACGAGCCGAAACCCUUCUUCACUCACGCGGCGUUGCUCCAUCAGACUUUCGUCCAUUGUGGAAGAUUCCCUACUGCUGCCUCCCGUAGGAGUUUGGGCCGUGUCUCAGUCCCAAUGUGGCCGAUCAGUCUCUCAACUCGGCUAUGCAUCAUUGCCUUGGUAAGCCGUUACCUUACCAACUAGCUAAUGCACCGCAGGUCCAUCCAAGAGUGAUAGCAGAACCAUCUUUCAAACUCUAGACAUGCGUCUAGUGUUGUUAUCCGGUAUUAGCAUCUGUUUCCAGGUGUUAUCCCAGUCUCUUGGGCAGGUUACCCACGUGUUACUCACCCGUCCGCCGCUCGCUUGUAUCUAGUUUCAUUUAGUGCAAGCACUAAAAUCAUCUAGGCAAGCUCGCUCGA